rnacentral:lncRNA from 13 species
CACGGGCAGUGAGAUGACACCAUAUGCGUGUCACUGGGGAUCAAGGGUGAGAUGUAUGGAAACACUGUGUCAUACCAGAGCAAGGUCGUGUUCAUGUGGCACUAAACAGAAGAAAAAGGAAUGAAACUGCUUUUCUCCGGUGUGUCCUAAUGUAUACGACCCUGGUCUUGUGACAGUGUUUAGUUGUGGGCUUUCUUUAGCUGCUGCUGAGAAGAUUAAGAGAGGGAUGGAGGAGGGGGAGGGAGGGAGGACGGGGUUGCCGGGUCAUGUGAUUUGGUUGGAUACUUUUGGGGGUGACUUUGGAACAUCCCAGACUAUAUGUGGUAAACAAGAGUGUUUGAUUGAUUGAGUCCCCCUUAUCGACAAUGAGUGAAAUUCGCAGUCAAUCAAUACUUAGACCUUGUUGAAAACUUGAUAUAGUUUUAACAUUCAAGCUGGACAUAUAUGUGUUGUGUGUGUGUGUGUGUGUGUGUGUGUGUAUGACUAGGAUACAAGCUAUCAGUCUUUCAGCAAAGAAUAUACCACUGAGAGAGAGUACCACUUAGUCUGCUAUUUCAGACUGCCAUUUGAGAGAGAGAGAGUACCACUUAGUCUGCUAUUUUAGACAGCUAUUUGAGAGAGAGAGAGAGAGAGAGAGAGAGAGAGAGAGAGAGAGAGAGAGAGAGAGAGAGAGAGAGAGAGAGAGAGAGAGUUUACUUUGAAUUCUUCCUAUUUGCCAGAUCCCUCCCACUGUUUCAUUUAUUACCUGGUUUUGCGAUUCUUAUUCAUAACCAGUUCAGACGCCAUCUGAUAAUUUCUCACCUAUUGGUUCCAUGAGGCAGAAGCUGAAUGAAUGAAGGGAGGGAAUGUGAUGUACCCAUUUAACUAUGCAUCACCUUACCUGCCGUGAUCAGGACAAUAUAACACCAGCACUGCCAAGAGGAAUGGAAAAGGAAAAGGGACAUCCAGCUGAAGUUACCAAACGGUUAGUCAUUGUCAGUGACAUUAUUUGCAAAGUGGAGCAAGAGACCAACUGUGUCAUAUGUUAUGAUAAGGUUGAGAUAGGUAUUACACAGUUGGACUAGAUUAUCAAAACCUUCUGAUACACACAAUGUGAAAAUGUGUCUCAAUGGAGACAUGAUACACAUCAGAUUUAAUCGGUAUGGUGGGCAAAGAAAAAACCUGCAGAUAAGAUAUUACAUUCUCUCAGUAUCUCAAUAUCUCAGUAGUUUGGUAUUAUGAAACAAAUGUUCUUUGCCUAAAAUAACUAGGAUGGAUAGAGGGCCAUUGGCGUGUCAUCUUCUGUGACUAAUACAGCAAAACAGCACUCUUCAGAAGUCUCGUUGGCAAAGACACAACAUACUGCAUGGACACAUACUAGUGGACGAAAACAACCUAACAUCAAUACAUAAAAUGCCUUCUAAACCCAUUGUAUGUAGAAUUGGAAUAGAAAUUAGCUCUUUGAAGCCAUAUAACAAUCCAUAUAAUUUACUCAGGACUUUCUACUCGUCUGCCAUACAAAGUAAAUGCCGGUUGCCUAUAAAAUGCUGAUGGAAUUUGAGAGGGAGAGGAAAGCCUGGCUGGAUUUGUUCAGCUCCUCUCUCUGUGGGUGU